rnacentral:rRNA from 1 species
UACAGAGGGUGCAAGCGUUGCUCGGAUUUACUGGGCGUAAAGCGUACGCAGACGGUGAGAAAGGUCGGAUGUGAAAGCCCCGGGCUCAACCCGGGAACUGCAUCCGAAACCAUCUCGCUAGAGUAUGGGAGAGGGAAGCGGAAUUCCUGGUGUAGAGGUGAAAUUCGUAGAUAUCAGGAGGAACACCGGCGGCGAAGGCGGCUUCCUGGCCCAUUACUGACGUCA